AACCGGAUUAGAUACCCUGGUAGUCCCACGCCCUAAACCGAUGUCUACUAGUUGUCGGGUUUUAAUUAACCUUGGUAACGCAGCUAACGCGUGAAGUAGACCGCCUGGGGAGUACGGUCGCAAGAUUAAAACUCAAAGGAAUUGACGGGGACCCGCACAAGCGGUGGAUGAUGUGGAUUAAUUCGAUGCAACGCGAAAAACCUUACCUACCCUUGACAUGUACGGAAGGCCGAAGAGAUUUGGCUGUGCUCGAAAGAGAACCGUAACACAGGUGCUGCAUGGCUGUCGUCAGCUCGUGUCGUGAGAUGUUGGGUUAAGUCCCGCAACGAGCGCAACCCUUGUCAUUAGUUGCUACAUUUAGUUGAGCACUCUAAUGAGACUGCCGGUGACAAACCGGAGGAAGGUGGGGAUGACGUCAAGUCCUCAUGGCCCUUAUGGGUAGGGCUUCACACGUUAUACAAUGGUACAUACAGAGGGCCGCCAACCCGCGAGGGGGAGCUAAUCCCAGAAAGUGUAUCGUAGUCCGGAUUGUAGUCUGCAACUCGACUACAUGAAGUUGGAAUCGCUGGUAAUCGCG
rnacentral:rRNA from 1 species